rnacentral:snoRNA from 1 species
AAGACUAUACUUUCAGGGAUCAUUUCUAUAGUUUGUUACCAAAAAGUGUCAGAAAUUACUGUCCUCAGGCU